ACACCCCCUGGGGAACAACGUCACCAUUGUCAUCGUUGCCACCGUCGCUGUCACCAUCGCUGCGUCACCGUCGCUGUGCCACCACUGCCACCCCCAUUGUGUCACCACUGUCACCAUCACUGUGUCACCGUUUCUGUGCCAUCGUCACCAUCGCUGUGUCACCAUCGCUGUGUCACCAUCGCUGUGCCACCACUGCCACCCCCCUUGUGUCACCAUCGUCACCAUCGCUGUGUCACCCUUUCUGUGCCAUCGUUGUCACCAUUGCUGUGUCACCAUCGCUGCGUCACCGUCACUGUGUCACCAUUGUCACUAUUGCUGUGUUACCAUUGUCACCAUCUGUGUCACCGUCAUUGUGCCACCAAUGUGUCACCAUUGUCACCAUCUGUGUCCCCAUUGUCACCAUCACUGCGUCACCAUUGUCACCAUCUGUGUCCCCAUUGUCACCAUCACUGUGUCACCAUUGUCACCAUCACUGUGUCACCGUCACUGUGUCACCAUUGUCACCAUCACUGUGUCACCAUUGUCACCAUCUGUGUCCCCAUCAUUGUGCCACCACUGUGUCACCAUCUGUGUCCCCAUUGUCACCUCCUCUGUGUCACCAUUGUCACCAUCGCUGUGUCACCAGUGUCACCUCCAUUGUGCCACCAUUGUCACCCCCGUUGUGCCAUCACUGUCACUUCCUCUGUGUCACCAUUGUCACCCCCGCUGUGUCACCACUGUCACCAUUUCUGUGUCACCACUGCCACCAUCGCUGUGUCACCACUGCCACCAUCGUUGUGUCACCACUGUCACCACCAUUGUGCCACCACUGUCAUCCCAGUUGUGCCAUCACUGUCACUUCCUCUGUGUCACCAUUGUCACCCCCGCUAUGUCACCAUUGUCACCACCACUGUGUCACCACUGUCACCCCCAUUGUGUCACCACUGUCACCAUCACUGUGUCACUGCUGUCCUCUCCACCAUGUCCCCUCCGUUGUGUCCCUGCUGUCACCAUCGCCGCGUCACCACUGUCACCUCCUCUGUGUCACCAUUGUCACUGUCACUGUGUCACCACUGUCACCAUUUCUACGUCACCACUGUCACCAUCGCUGUGUCAUCAUUGUCACCACCAUUGUGUCACCAUUGUCACCACCAUUGUGUCACCGCUGUCCCCUCCAUUUUGUCCCCUCCAUUGUGUCACCGCUGUCUCCCCCACUGUGUCACCAUUGUCACCACCAUUGUGUCACCGCUGUCCCCUCCAUUGUGCCACUGCUGUCACCCCCACUGUGUCACCAUUGUCACCACCAUUGUGCCACUGCUGCCACCCCCGCUGUGUCACCACUGUCACCCCUGUUGUGUCACCGCUGCCACCCCCGCAGUGUCCCGUGGUGUCCCUGCCCCGCCCUCGAUGGCGACACCGUCCCCGUGUCCCCAGGGCCACCCACGCCGUGUCACCGCCCGGCCGCGCCCUGGCUGCCACUGCCACCGCCUGUCCCCUCCCCGCCGGGUCCCCUCUGGGGGGUUGGGGACGUUUGGGGACACCUGGGUCCCUCCUGGGGACACCUGGGGCCAUUUCUGGGGACAUUUGGGGACACCUGGGUCCCUCCUGGGGACACCUGGGGCCGUUUUUGGGGACGUUUGGGGACACCUGGGUCCCUC
rnacentral:lncRNA from 1 species